GUUUUCUGUUAUGCCCUGGACAUCUGGACUGCAGUGAGGGAAGCAGAACAGGAGAUACAACAGAGGGUCCACCAAAGUGGAGAGUCCAGUCUGAGAUCACCCAGGAGCGCUGUGGCCCCAGAGAGCUACAGCAUCAUAGUGGGUCCUGGGACGCUGGUAGCAUAGGGCAUGAGUGCUCUGGGUUCAAGGUGCCACUGUUCUGAGCUCCUGAUUGUGCUAUUCAGGCGACAGGAAUGGCUUCCUAAAGGUCAACUCAAAAUAAACUGCCUCAUUGCCAAUGCUUAUCAAUUUUGAAACAAGAAAAAAAAGUACAAGUA